AUGGCCCGGAGAAUGGCGAGCGCAAGGAGCGCCGGGCAGGAUCCUUCUGAUGGCACAGGGUACUCAGGAAAUAUUUUUCCCUUAGAGUCCCACUGAAACAUUCUCCGUGCAAUCUCCGUUAAGUGCCAGGAGUCUGGAGAAACUGGAGAAGAGCCCAAGAGACAUUUUUCAUCCUGAGAUACAAAAGG